UACGUAGGGAGCAAGCGUUGUCCGGAUCUACUGGGUGUAAAGGGUGCGUAGGCGGCCCUGCAAGUCAGAAGUGAAAUCCAUGGGCUUAACCCAUGAACUGCUUUUGAAACUGUAGGGCUUGAGUGAAGUAGAGGUAGGCGGAAUUCCCGGUGUAGCGGUGUAAUGCGUAGAGAUCGGGAGGAACACCAGUGGCGAAGGCGGCCUACUGGGCUUUAACUGACGCUGAAGCACGAAAGCGUGGGUAGCAAACAGG
rnacentral:rRNA from 1 species